CAAUAGCGUAUAUUAAAGUUGUUGCGGUUAAAAAGCUCGUAGUUGGAGUUCUGCCAGGUGCCGUCUGUCCGCCCCAGUGGUGAGUACGUGACGCGCAUUUGGCCCUUUCAAGGGGAGCGUAUCUGCACUUUACUGUGUGGUGCGGGAUCCUUGACUUUUACUUUGAGGAAAUAGGAGUGUUCCAAGCAGGCUCUCGUCGUGCACAGCUCAGCAUGGAAUAAUAGCAUUGGACCUCGAUUCUAAGCUGUUGGUUGCCAGAAGCGAGGUAAUGAUGAAGAGGGAUAGUUGGGGGCAUUCGUAUUUAACUGUCGGAGGUGAAAUUCUUGGAUUUGUUAAAGACGGACUACUGCGAAAGCAUCUGCCAUGGAUGUUUUCAUUGA
rnacentral:rRNA from 1 species